rnacentral:rRNA from 1 species
UACGAAGGGGGCUAGCGUUGCUCGGAAUCACUGGGCGUAAAGCGCACGUAGGCGGCUUCUCAAGUCAGGGGUGAAGUCCUGGAGCUCAACUCCAGAACUGCCUUUGAUACUGAGGGGCUCGAGUCCGGGAGAGGUGAGUGGAACUGCGAGUGUAGAGGUGAAAUUCGUAGAUAUUCGCAAGAACACCAGUGGCGAAGGCGGCUCACUGGCCCGGUACUGACGCUGAGGUGCGAAAGCGUGGGGAGCAAACAGG